AGCCCUAAGUGGGUGGUAAACUCCAUCUAAGGCUAAAUAUGACCACGAGACCGAUAGCGAACAAGUACCGUGAGGGAAAGUUGAAAAGCACUUUGAAGAGAGAGUUCAAGAGUACGUGAAACCGUUUAGGGGUAAACCUGAGAAACCCGAAAGGUCGAAGGGAGAAAUUCAUUCGCGUUUCGCCGUUGGCGUGAGGUGGUCGUGUGACGGAAAGCGUUCGCGCGUUUUCCGCGCCUUCUGCCUUUCGAUCUGAUAGCGAACGCGUGCACUUUUCUCCUGGUAGGACGUCGCGAUCCGUUGGGUGUCGGUCUACGGCUCGCGGUGGAGCCCGGACGUACGGCUUGCCGUUAUGUCCGGACCCGUGUGUCCUGGCUGACUCGCUCGACGGUAUACGAAAGGUUUAAGGCCGCUCUUGGAGCGUUCGGCUCGUAGCAAGCGCGUCAGAUGUGUCGGCGAUCGGACCUAGUGCCGGUUCUGACCUCUGAUGACUGUUGGCUGCGAAGUUCUCGAACAGACCUUCGAACCGAUCUGCGACGCUAUAGCUUUGGGUACUUUCAG
rnacentral:rRNA from 1 species